rnacentral:lncRNA from 1 species
ACCAGCCUAGAGAUAGAGUGAGACUCCGUCUCAAAAAAAAAAAAAAAAAAAAAAAUUACAGGACCCAUCUCUUUGAGUAACUGUAUUAAAUGUGAAUGCAGCACCUAGCCACAUUACUAUGCACAUAGAAAGUAUUCAAUAAUGUUUACUGCUAUUAAUAUUAAUAUUUCCUUCAUAAAUUUAUUAAUAUUCAUUUUCUCCCAUCUUAACCCUUCUGGGCCCCUCAAUCCACUGGACCUGCCUUCAGCCUCCUGCCUCUUUACUGCCUUCAUUCGCACUUCUUUGAGUCAGGUUGGCAAACCCCUUCAUAAUCCGCCCAAUCUAGUUUUCCAGCCCCCAAUACUCUCCUGACCUAUAAAUUCGCUUUCUGCAUUGGCCACAAUGAACUCCUCCCAGGUGGCAGCUCUUUGGAUCUCUCUAUCCUUCCUUUCUUUGUGCUCUUUUCCUGGAAUGUCCUUCUCUUGUCAUCCUACCCAAGACAAUCAGUUUCUCCCUCUAUCGCUCCUUGAAUUCGCCUCUGAUAUUGCACUUGUGUCUGCAUAUUGACAGGUUUAUGGAAGACACUUCCUAGCCAUCUUGUGAGCUCCUUGAAGGAACUGUGUCUUUAUCUGUAUAGCCCCACCUAGCAGAUGCUCAAGGCAUGCUUGUGGAAUGAAUAAGGGAACAGAUCAUUUCUUCUGAGCUGUUUGCAGUCUGGCUAAGCCAAUUGAAAGAAUGCCUUCUCUUGCAAUCUACAAAUUGAAAAGCCUGUGAGACCCUCAGGACACUCAGUUCUGUCCUACUGGUGGCGGAGUGGGACUCCUUCAUGAUGUGGCACAGUUUCCUUGAGUUUUAGGAAGAAACGGCCCAUGUGGCAGAUUCAGAAACAAUGAAUCAGCACCUAAACAAACAGGAAGAUUUGGCACAAAAAAGUUUGCUUCGGGCAACCAUUGCCAGCUCUAUCCAGACCUCCAAGGAAUGAAAAAACUGAAGAUCAGAGAGGUUGUAUAACUUGCCUAAGGUCAUAAAACUACUUAAUGAUGAAAAUUUAAAACCAAGUCUGUCUGACUCUGUAGCCAUGGUUCUCACUGUCUGGUCCCUGGACCAGCUGUAUCAGCACCUCCUGGGAACUCAUCAGAGACCUAAUGAGUCAGAAAUUUGGGGGGUCAGGUGGAGCCAUCUGUGUCCUGGCAAGCCUCAAGGUGAUUCUACUGGACACUCCCAACCAAGAACCACUGUUCCAGCACGUUCCCUUCAUCUCCACGCCAUGCUGCGUCUCCAACUUCCUGCUCUCCAAAGGCAAAACUCACCAUGAGGGAAUCAUCCAGAAAUAAAGUUGAUUUUCACUUCUCCCUGCAGAUGCUCCCAGGGAGUUAAAGGUGACUCUUCACUCCAGACUCUAAAUUUGACCCCCUUUCAGGCGGCCACCCCAGGUUCAUUAUCACACCAAUCAGCCAACUGUUUUGAGUAGAAAUCUCCUUUCCCACCCUGUAAGGAAUUCCAGGACACCGUCUAUGAAGAGGGAAAUCAUAACUUGGCUAUUUGUUCAGGACACCCCUACCCUCUUCCAGACCAGCAGCUCAUUGAGACACCUGCCCUCGAGAUACCACUUGACUACUGCCGCCAGUCGACAAUUAUUGAUCAAGUACUGUGUCAGGUCCUCUGCUAGGCCGUUUGAGACAUGUUAUCUCAAUUAAUCCUUACAACAACCCAAGAGGUAGACAUGAUUAUUAGCCCAUUUCAAAAACAAGAAAACUGAGGCACAGAUUAUUUGCCUAACUUCACUAGCUAAUAAAUUACUGAGAUGAGACUUAAACUCAGUUUGUCUCAAGAACCCCAUGGUCUUAUCCAGUAUGCCCUAUUGCCUGUUACGGGCCUUUGUCAAACAAGUCUUCUCUCUUGGUGCACUCCAGGCCAACUUUCUGUGUUCCAGCUUGAGAGUCCUCUUUGCAGCCAUGUGAAUCCAGUGUCUUCCUCUCGUUAAUCCUCUAGGACACCUCUGCCCAGCUUUCUUCCAUCCCCCCGCACCUGGCCAUUUCCCUCUGGAGCUGUUUCCUACUAGCUGGGCUCUCACCUCCCAGACACUUUUCCUUCCUUUAGACCAGCUUCAUCUCCUCUAUGUGCUGCUCAGCAUGGAAUAAAUUCUAUCUUUUUCCAAUUCCCAAUUUCUAAGGCAGGUUUUUUUUUUUUUUUAAUCUUACCAUCUCUGCUUUGACCAGACACUUGGUACAACUUCAAACAUUGUCGCCUGUGGUUUGGCUGCCUAACAAGGAGCUCUUGGCCCGCUUCGAAGCCAGCCUUCUUGAAGCCUGCCCUCACAUUUAGCGCCCUUAAUAUAGACUCUGUCUACCACAGAUCAGCGUGUACUGAGAAGAUAGAUCGGAAUCAGGGAGGAGGCUAUUUCAUUGCCUGGUGGUGGAACCAAUACUCAGUCUGGUGAUAUAAACUGAAAAAUGCAAAAGUGGGGAAGGCAAGGUGAAGAGCGAAGGCAGCUUCUCAGACUUGGCUCGUGAGUUCAUAGUAAGGCAUCUCCAACAAGAGUCUUGCAGCGGCCUCCUGGAGGGUCCCUUCCAUCCACAGUGAUUGGGGCACAGGCUGGCUCAACCAUAAAGGCAAACAGGAAACUCUGCCAGCAAAGGAAAAAGGAAGCUCUCAGAUUCCUGUUCCAAGCAGCCUUCUGGGAAGGACUUUAUCUUGGGGGAAAGUUUUACUAAAGGAAAUUUGACCUGAAGUUGCAAGUUUCCUUUGUUGAGAAAAGCAAAUAACAUGAAAGGGGAGAAAAGCAACAAGAUGAAAGAUUGGUCAUCACAGAUGCAGAUCUAAUCUCUGCCAUAAUAUAAACUGGAAGAACCUAGAACCCUGGGAGGUGAGAGUGGCAGGCGGUGGGGGGGUGACAUGAGCAGAAACAACAGACAAGACGAGGCUGACCUCCCACAGGGGCAGCGAGGGCCCUGGCUGACCAGAGAACAGGACGAAAUAAGGCUUUCCAGGGCAGGUUAGAGUCCUUUAGUAUCAGGAUGCAGUGUUUAUAAUCUCAUGGGCCAUGGAGAAUUCUGUGCUCUAAGCAUCUGGGAAAUGAGAUAAUCAAAGCAUAUAAAUAAUACCAGUCAACUUUUUUAAAAAACGGUCAGUAUUUUUAAACACAUAUUAAAAUCUUCUUGAGCCCUUUGCACAUAUUAACUAAUUUAAACCUCACAACAACCCUAUGAAAUACAUAACCAAUAUUAUCACUUCCCUUUAUAGGAGCACAGAAAGGUUAAGCACCUUGUUCAAGGUCACACAGUUUGUAAGGCUCAAAAGCAGGAUUUGAACGCAGGCCAUCUGGUACUAACGUCACUCCUCUUAACCACCAUACCUGACUGCAAAGCAGUCUCUAAAAUUAACGAAGUGUGAUAUGGUUUGGAUGCUUUGUUUCCUCCAAAUCUCAUGCUGAAAUGUGACCUCCCAUGGUGGUGGAGGUGGGGCCCGGUGGUAAGGACAGACCUCCCAUGAAUGGCCUGGUGCCCUCCUCGUGGUAAUGAGUUCUUGCUCUGCGGUCACAGGCAAUCUGGUUGUUUCAAAGAGUGUGGCACCUUCCUAGCCCUCUCUCAUCAUAGGAGGUACUGGCUCCCUCUUCACCUUCCUCCAUAAUCGAAAGCUUCCUGAGGCCUCACCAGCAGCAGAUCCCAGCACUAUGCUUCGCGUACGAACUGCAGAACUAAGUUUGGCAACUCUUGGGAUGGUAAAAGAGGAUAGCAGAAAGAAAACUGGGUUGGAAUCCUAACUCUAUGAUUGAAGAAGGGGAGCUGGGACCUUGAACCUCAUAAGGGCAUGAGGAAUGCUGAGAGUCAGCCUCUUGGGGAAGUUCUCAAAACUUCAACUCAAUUUGUGUAGUAGUUGUGCACAAUUCAGUUUAAGGAUUCUGCCCAUCACGUGAAGGACCUCUUCAAGGAGAACUACAAAGCACUGCUCAACGAAAUAAAAGAGGAUACAAACAAAUGGAAGAACAUUCCCUGCUCCUGGGUAGGAAGAAUCAGUAUCGUGAAAAUGGCCAUACUGCCCAAGGUAAUUUAUAGAUUCAGUGCCAUCCCCAUCAAGCUACCAAUGACUUUCUUCACAGAACCAAAAAAGAGGCUGCAUUGCCAAGUCAAUCCUAAGCUGAAAGAACAAAGCUGGAGGCAUC